rnacentral:rRNA from 1 species
CCUACGGGAGGCAGCAGUGGGGAAUUUUGGACAAUGGGCGCAAGCCUGAUCCAGCAAUGCCGCGUGAGUGAAGAAGGCCUUCGGGUUGUAAAGCUCUUUUGUCAGGGAAGAAACGGGUAGAGCUAAUAUCUUUACCUAAUGACGGUACCUGAAGAAUAAGCACCGACUAACUACGUGCCAGCAGCCGCGGUAAUACGUAGGGUGCAAGCGUUAAUCGGAAUUACUGGGCGUAAAGCGUGCGCAGGCGGUUUUGUAAGUCUGAUGUGAAAUCCCCGGGCUCAACCUGGGAAUUGCAUUGGAGACUGCAAGGCUGGAGUUUGGCAGAGGGGGGGUAGAAUUCCACGUGUAGCAGUGAAGUGCGUAGAUAUGUGGAGGAACACCGAUGGCGAAGGCAGCCCCCUGGGUCAAGACUGACGCUCAUGCACGAAAGCGUGGGGAGCAAACAGGAUUAGAUACCCUGGUAGUCCACGCCCUAAACGAUGUCUACUAGUUGUCGGGUCUUAAUUGACUUGGUAACGCAGCUAACGCGUGAAGUAGACCGCCUGGGGGAGUAACGGUCGCAAAGAUUAAAAACUUCAAAAGGAAUUGACGG